UACGAAGGGGGCUAGCGUUGCUCGGAAUCACUGGGCGUAAAGGGUGCGUAGGCGGGUCUUUAAGUCAGGGGUGAAAUCCUGGAGCUCAACUCCAGAACUGCCUUUGAUACUGAAGAUCUUGAGUUCGGGAGAGGUGAGUGGAACUGCGAGUGUAGAGGUGAAAUUCGUAGAUAUCGGGAGGAACACCAGUGGCGAAGGCGACUACCUGGCCUGUUUCUUGACGCUGAGGCGCGAAAGCUAGGGGAGCAAACGGG
rnacentral:rRNA from 1 species